rnacentral:sRNA from 1 species
AAUAAAAAUGAUUAGUUAUCCUGUUGAUUGUUGCGAAAUUUUCUCCAUAUAUGCUCAACCAAAUCACUUUUUCAUUGUUGAUGCAUAUUUUGAUCACGAAGUUGAUUUCGCAUGCCCAUCAUAUUCUCGAUAUUUAGAGGCAUACCUGUAGAAUACGAUAAAUCGACUUGUGGAGUUUGGUUUCCUUCAACUUGUAGGAAUUCUGAAACAUCAAACUGAAUGUUGUACCCAUCUCGUUCGUCUUCGACUAUCAUAUUGUGCAGUAUGAUACAUGCUUUC